AUUGAACGCUGGCGGCAUGCCUUACACAUGCAAGUCGAACGGUAACAGGUCUUCGGAUGCUGACGAGUGGCGAACGGGUGAGUAAUACAUCGGAACGUGCCUAGUAGUGGGGGAUAACUACUCGAAAGAGUGGCUAAUACCGCAUGAGAUCUACGGAUGAAAGCAGGGGAUCGCAAGACCUUGUGCUACUAGAGCGGCCGAUUGCAGAUUAGGUAGUUGGUGGGAUAAAAGCUUACCAAGCCGACGAUCUGUAGCUGGUCUGAGAGGGCGAUCAGCCACACUGGGACUGAGACACGGCACAGACUCCUACGGGAGGCAGCAGUGGGGAAUUUUGGACAAUGGGCGAAAGCCUGAUCCAGCAAUGCCGCGUGCAGGAUGAAGGCCUUCGGGUUGUAAACUGCUUUUGUACGGAACGAAAAGCCCCGGGUUAAUACCCUGGGGUCAUGACGGUACCGUAAGAAUAAGCACCGGCUAACUACGUGCCAGCCGCCGCAGUAA
rnacentral:rRNA from 1 species